UACGAAGGGUGCAAGCGUUACUCGGAAUUACUGGGCGUAAAGCGUGCGUAGGUGGUUUGUUAAGUCUGUUGUGAAAGCCCCGGGCUCAACCUGGGAAUGGCAAUGGAUACUGGCAGGCUAGAGUGCGGUAGAGGGUAGUGGAAUUCCCGGUGUAGCGGUGAAAUGCGUAGAGAUCGGGAGGAACACCAGUGGCGAAGGCGGCUACCUGGACCAGUACUGACACUGAGGCACGAAAGCGUGGGGAGCAAACAGG
rnacentral:rRNA from 1 species